CGUGGUCGUUCGGUCCUAUGUCGCGCCGGGCCCUCCGGAGGCUGAGGGGGGAACAGCGCGGCCAGGAGCCCCUCGGGCCCGGCGCCUUGCAUUUCGAUCUCCGUGAUGACGAUGACGCGGAAGAAGAAGGGCCCAAGCGGGAGCUUGGUGUCCGGCGUCCCGGGGGCGCAGGGAAGGAGGGCGUCCGAGUCAACAACCGCUUCGAGCUGAGAAGAGUUUUCGCCUUGUUGCCCAGGCUGGUCUAGAACUUCUGCGCUCAAACAAUCUGUCCACCUCAGCCUCACAAAGUGCUGGGACUACAGGCGUGAGUCACCAUGCUUGGUUGACUGCCCUUCUCGCAUCAAGUCCACCUUUAGUGGUCCCCAAGACCCCCGUCAAGGUUCAGUAAUUUGCUAGAUUCACAGCAGUUACUGAAAGCUUUUUGUUUUGAGAUGGAAUCUUGCUCUGUUGCCCAGGCUGGAGUGCAUUGGCACAAUCCUAGCUCACUGCAACCUUGAACUCCUGGGCUCAAAUAGUCCUCUCACCUUGGCCUCUCAGAGUGUUGGCAUUAGAGGCAUGAGCCACUGUGCUUGGCCCCGAAAAAUGGACAUUUUCCUCUCCCCCUAAAAAAAGAUAAAACUCCUUCCUGGUUAUUAACUGAAAUGCUGAUCGAGCUUUAUCCUAAAGAAGAUCAGUCGUGGACAAGAACCUUGUGAAAUGUUCCCCAUUUGAGACCCUAAAACUAAUGAAAAUCACAGCUUUUGGAUAAACAUUGACGAUCUUGAGGAUGACCCUGUGGUGAACGGGGAGAGGUCUGGCUGUGCGCUCACAGACGCUGUGGCACCAGGGAACAAAGGAAGGGGUCAGCGUGGAAACACAGAGAGCAAGACGGAUGGAGAUGACACCGAGACAGUGCCCUCAGAGCAGUCUCAUGCAAGUGGCAAACUCCG
rnacentral:lncRNA from 1 species